rnacentral:rRNA from 1 species
AUUGAACGCUGGCGGCAUGCCUUACACAUGCAAGUCGAACGGUAACGCGGGGCAACCUGGCGACGAGUGGCGAACGGGUGAGUAAUAUAUCGGAACGUGCCCAGUAGUGGGGGAUAGCCCGGCGAAAAGCCGGAUUAAUACCGCAUACGACCUAAGGGUGAAAGCGGGGGAUCGCAAGACCUCGCGCUAUUGGAGCGGCCGAUAUCAGAUUAGGUAGUUGGUGGGGUAAAGGCCUACCAAGCCGACGAUCUGUAGCUGGUCUGAGAGGACGAUCCGCCACACUGGAACUGAGACACGGUCCAGACUCCUACGGGAGGCAGCAGUGGGGAAUUUUGGACAAUGGGGGCAACCCUGAUCCAGCCAUGCCGCGUGAGUGAAGAAAGCCUUCGGUGUAAAGCUCUUUCGGCCGGGAAGAAAUCGUAUGGGUUAAUACCCUGUGCGGAUGACGGUACCGGCAUAAGAAGCACCGGCUAACUACGUGCC